rnacentral:misc_RNA from 1 species
UUCCGUAGGUGAACCUGCGGAAGGAUCUUAAUAAAUGGUCUACGUUUUUAAGUAACACUUAAUAUCCUACCUUUGUGAAUUUGUUGUUUGAAAUAAUUUUUUUUAAAAUUAUUGAUUGUCUUUCCCUGUGAAUAGAAUGUUUCGAACAUGAAUUCGCAGGGGAGUGUCAGUAAUUUUUAAAAGACCUUUUUUAAAAUUAAACUUUUUGUAUCAUUGUCUAAAAUUAUUUUUAUAUAUAAACAACUUUUGACAAUGGAUCUCUUGGUUCUCGCACGAUGAAGAACGCAGCAAAAUGCGAUAAGUAGUGUGAAUUGCAGAAUACGUGAUCAUCGAAUCUUCGAACGCAUAUUGCACUUUUUAGUUUACUAAAAAGUAUGUCUGUUUGAGUAUCAGAAAAUAUUCUCAUAAAAACAUUGUUUUUAUGGUUAUGAGUGUUUUACAACGAUACAAGUUGUUCACUUUAAUUUUUUUAAAAUUUGAAUUUUCUAAUUUUAAAAUAAAAUUGGAUAAAAUUUUCCCGUAAAAGGAAUAACCUAAACAUUUUAAAUUUUUGAUUAGAAUUCUCCACAUUCUAAAGGAAAUUUAACUAAAUAACUUGAUCUCAAAUCAGAUAAGAGUACCCGCUGAACUUAAGCAAUCAAUAGCGGAGAAAAGAAACUAACAAGGAUUCCCUUAGUAACGGCGAGUGAAGCGGGAAGAGCUCAAAUUUGAAAUCUUCAAGGUUUUACCUUGACGAAUGUAGUUAAAGAAGUGUUUUCUGUUGAAGUUUUGGUAAAGUCUUUGGAAUAGGACAUCAUAGAGGUGAGAAUCCCGUAUUUGACCAUUAUUUCAGCUGUGUGAUACACUUUCAAAGAGUCGGAUUGUUGGGAAUGCAGUCCAAAAUGGGUGGUAAAUUUCAUCUAAAGCUAAUAUUGGCGAGAGACCGAUAGCGAACAAGUACCGUGAGGGAAAGAUGAAAAGAACUUGAAAAGAGAGUUAACAGUACGUGAAAUUGUCAAAAGGGAAGCGUUUGACACCAGUGUUGUUUCUCGAAAAUUAAUUAAAAAAGUUGGAUUUUGUGUUGUAUUGACCUUAACAGCUUGCUUCACUCUUUCCUGCUUUUUUAAUGCACUUUCGUUUAACAAGUCAACAUCAGUUUCUUUGUUGUAAAAGGGUCAUUGGAAGGUGGCUUCCUUCGGAGAAAGUGUUAUAGCCUUGAUCUCUGCAAUCGGAGAGACUGAGUCUGCAGCGUAGAUCUUCGGGUUAGAUACAUUUGUGCUAAGCUACAGCUUUCAUAGACAACUUGUGACUAUGUUAGUCUUGUAACUUACCCGCUUAUGCUAUUUACCUACGCUUAGGAUGUUG